rnacentral:rRNA from 1 species
CCUACGGGAGGCAGCAGUGAGGAAUAUUGGUCAAUGGGCGGGAGCCUGAACCAGCCAAGUCGCGUGAGGGAAGACGGUCCUAUGGAGUGUAAACCUCUGUAGGCGGGGAGCAAUGCCGGGCACGCGGGCCCGGAGGGAGAGGACCCGCAGAAUAAGCAGCGGCUAACUCCGUGCCAGCAGCCGCGGUAAUACGGAGGAUGCGAGCGUUAUCCGGUUUGAUUGGGUUUAAAGGGUGCGUAGGCGGAUUUUUAAGUCAGCGGUAAAAUGUCCGGGCUCAACCCGGGCCGGCCGUUGAAACGGGGGAUCUUGAGUGGGCGUGAAUUCUGCGUAAUGCGUGGUGUAGCGGU